rnacentral:rRNA from 1 species
GAUGAACGCUGGCGGCGUGCCUAAUACAUGCAAGUCGAGCGAACAGACGAGGAGCUUGCUCCUCUGACGUUAGCGGCGGACGGGUGAGUAACACGUGGAUAACCUACCUAUAAGACUGGGAUAACUUCGGGAAACCGGAGCUAAUACCGGAUAAUAUAUUGAACCGCAUGGUUCAAUAGUGAAAGACGGUUUUGCUGUCACUUAUAGAUGGAUCCGCGCCGCAUUAGCUAGUUGGUAAGGUAACGGCUUACCAAGGCAACGAUGCGUAGCCGACCUGAGAGGGGAGCCGGCAAAAUUGGAACUGAAACACGGUCAAACCCCCAAGGGGAGGACGAGGGGGGAAAUUUUCCGAAAGGGGCGAAGCCCGAGCGGGGCAACCCGGGGGGGGGAAGAAAGGUUUUGGGUUCGAAAACCCUUGUUUUUAGGAAAAAAAAAAGGGGUAAAAAACUAUGCCGGUCUUAACGGACCCAAAUAAGAAAGCCCCGGCAAACUAGUU